AUGGACAAUAUGUUAGUUGACCUAGGUGGCAACUGUCCUCCACCGAUUGAUGAAGAACCAACCUCCUCUGCCAAGGCUUUCUAUAGGAUGGUUAGCAGUGCUGAUGAAAUUGUCCAUGAGAACACAACACACUCACGUCUUUCUGCAGUAGCUCGUUUGCUAGCACUGAAAUCUCAGUACAAUAUGUCAAUUGCAGAAUAUGAUGAUGUGUUACAAAUCAUCCAUGAACUUAUGCCUCCGGGUGCUAACUUGUCCAAGGACUUCUACCAAUCUAAGAAACUCUUAGAAGGCCUUGGUAUGCCUUAUGUCAAGAUUGAUGUGUGUAAAAAUAAUUGCAUGUUGUACUAUAAAGAUAAUGAGCAUAAAGACAAGUGUGACAUCUGCGGUACAUCUCGCUAUGAGGAAGGCCAGAAUAAAGUCCCACAUAAAGUGUUGAGAUAUCUCCCUCUUAAAGAUAGAUUACAGAGGUUGUAUGCUCACGAGGAAACAACAAAACAUAUGCAGUCACAUAGUCGUUCCAAUUCUGGUAAGAUGGUCCACCCUAUCGUUGGUGAAGCUUGGCAAGGGUUUGACAAGGACUUCCCAGAAUUUGCAGAAGAUCGUAGAAAUGUCCGUCUUGUCAUAGCCGGUGAUGGUUUUACACCAUACAAGUUGAAUGCUGCUCCAUAUACUUGCUGGCCUAUUUUUGUAGCUCCAUUAAACCUUCCACUGGGUAUUCUCUUGAAACCAGAGUAUAUAUUCCUUAGCCUUGUUAUCCCUGGUCCUGAACAUCCUGGAAAAAAUUUGAGUGUCCUAAUGCAACCUUUAGCUGAUGAACUGAUGCAAUUGUGGACAGGGGUUGAAACAUGGGAUGCUUAUCACAAGGUAAACUUUCCAAUGAAAGCGGCAUUUCUAUGGUCAGUCCACGACUUUCCUGCCUUUGGUAUGUUCGCUGGGUGGAGCAUCCAUGGCAAGCUAGCAUGCCCCGAAUGCAUGAGUGAUUCCAAAGCAUUUACUCUUCAAUACGGGCAGAAGCCUUGCUGGUUUGAUUGUCAUAGGCGCUUUCUACCUCCAGAUCAUGAAUUCAGAUUCCAGGCCAAUUCGUUUAGAAAGGAUACAAUAGUGUUAGAAGGGCCUCCAAGGCAUUUAACAGGAGAGGAAGUGGAAUCUCACAUGUACACACAUGUGAAUGACACCUUCAAUUACAAUAAAUUGCACAAUUGGACUCACAUAAGCUGCUUUUGGCAACUUCCAUACUUCAAAAAGUUGAAGCUCCGACACAACAUCGAUGUGAUGCACAAUGAAAAAAAUGUAGUUGAAGCUAUAUUUAACACAUGCUUUGAUAUUCCUGAUAAAACUAAAGAUAAUGUGAAGGCAAGAAAAGAUCUAGCUGAAAUUUGCAACCGUCCUUCGAUGCACUUGAAAUUGAAAGGCAAUGGGAAGUGGGAGAAGCCAAGAGCACCUUUUGUCAUCGAUAAGAAGGAUGUGAUAACCAUUCUGAAAUGGUUCCAAGAGCUGAAGUUCCCUGAUGGGUAUGCAUCAAGCUUUAGACGGGGAGUUAGCCUACUACACAGGAAGAUUUUUGGCCUCAAAAGUCAUGAUUACCAUAUCUUCAUGGAACACCUACUUCCUGUUGCAUUUCGUGGCUUCCUUCCAGAGGACAUAUGGAAGUGUCUAGCAGAGCUAAGUUAUUUCUAUAGGCAGCUAUGUGCAAAAGAACUUAGCAAGGAUACCAUACGUUCACUUGAGGAGAAUGUUGUUGUUCUUGUAUGCAAAUUGGAGAAGAUAUUCCCUCCUGGUUUCUUCAAUCCCAUGCAACAUUUAAUCAUACAUCUUCCAUACCAAGCUCGGCUAGGAGGUCCUGUAUUAGCUCGAUGGAUGUACAUCUAUGAAAGAUGUAUAGGGAAACUUAAAUCAAAAGUACGCAAUAAGGCUCGAGUUGAGGGUUCCAUUGUUGAGGCUUAUCUAGUUGAGGAGGCAACCAAUUUUCUCUCCUUGUAUUUCAAACACAAUGCCCGGUCAGUUAGGAACAAGGUGCCUCGCUAUGAUGACGGCGCCUCUACAUUUGUAGCCAAAUGCAACCUUGGCAUAUUUCAAUUCCCUGGUCGAUGCAUGAGUCCUCAAGGAACUUAUAAGCUCUCAACAGAAGAGUAUAAGGCUGCAUUCUUGUACAUAUUGACAAACAUCCCGGAGAUGGAGGAUUUGUUCGAGUAUAUUUUUUCUUUAACUUUU
rnacentral:rRNA from 1 species